UACGAAGGGGGCUAGCGUUGCUCGGAAUCACUGGGCGUAAAGCGCACGUAGGCGGAUUUGUAAGUCAGGGGUGAAAUCCCGGGGCUCAACCUCGGAACUGCCUUUGAUACUGCAAAUCUCGAGUCCGGAAGAGGUGAGUGGAAUUCCUAGUGUAGAGGUGAAAUUCGUAGAUAUUAGGAAGAACACCAGUGGCGAAGGCGGCUCACUGGUCCGGUACUGACGC
rnacentral:rRNA from 1 species